GAUGAACGCUGGCGGCGUGCCUAAUACAUGCAAGUCGAGCGAACGGACGAGAAGCUUGCUUCUCUGAUGUUAGCGGCGGACGGGUGAGUAACACGUGGAUAACCUACCUAUAAGACUGGGAUAACUUCGGGAAACCGGAGCUAAUACCGGACGAUAUUUUGAACCGCAUGGUUCAAAAGUGAAAGACGGUCUUGCUGUCACUUAUAGAUGGAUCCGCGCUGCAUUAGCUAGUUGGUAAGGUAACGGCUUACCAAGGCAACGAUGCAUAGCCGACCUGAGAGGGUGAUCGGCCACACUGGAACUGAGACACGGUCCAGACUCCUACGGGAGGCAGCAGUAGGGAAUCUUCCGCAAUGGGCGAAAGCCUGACGGAGCAACGCCGCGUGAGUGAUGAAGGUCUUCGGAUCGUAAAACUCUGUUAGUAGGGAAGAACAUAUGUGUAAGUAACUGUGCACAUCUUGACGGUACCUAAUCAGAAAGCCACGGCUAACUACGUG
rnacentral:rRNA from 1 species